rnacentral:rRNA from 1 species
UGGGGAAUUUUGGACAAUGGGCGAAAGCCUGAUCCAGCAAUGCCGCGUGUGUGAAGAAGGCCUUCGGGUUGUAAAGCACUUUUGUCCGGAAAGAAAUCCUUGGCUCUAAUACAGUCGGGGGAUGACGGUACCGGAAGAAUAAGCACCGGCUAACUACGUGCCAGCAGCCGCGGUAAUACGUAGGGUGCAAGCGUUAAUCGGAAUUACUGGGCGUAAAGCGUGCGCAGGCGGUUGUGCAAGACCGAUGUGAAAUCCCCGAGCUUAACUUGGGAAUUGCAUUGGUGACUGCACGGCUAGAGUGUGUCAGAGGGGGGUAGAAUUCCACGUGUAGCAGUGAAAUGCGUAGAGAUGUGGAGGAAUACCGAUGGCGAAGGCAGCCCCCUGGGAUAACACUGACGCUCAUGCACGAAAGCGUGGGGAGCAAACAGGAUUAGAUACCCUGGUAGUCCACGCCCUAAACGAUGUCAACUAGUUGUUGGGGAUUCAUUUCCUUAGUAACGUAGCUAACGCGUGAAGUUGACCGCCUGGGGAGUACGGUCGCAAGAUUAAAAGCUCAAAGGAUUUGACGGGGGCUGCAU